UGGUCAGGAUGAGUCGGGCCAUCAGCUGUGUGAGGUAAGGCUCCCCAGGGUGACCGGUACCGGCCUCGAGGUGACGGGCGCUUGGAGUGAUCCAGGCCCUGCUCCCCGGGAGGCAGCUGUGGGGAAUAUGCACAAUGGCGAAACCUGAUGCAGCAACGCCGUUUGAGGGAGAUGGCUUCGGGUUGUAAACCUCCUUUAGCAGCGAUGAAGCGAAAGUGACGGUACUUGCAGAAAAUGCGCCGCCUAACUACGUGUCAGCAGCCGCGGUAAUAAGUAGGGCGCACAGCGUUAUCCGGAAUUUUUGGCGUACAGAGCUCGUAGGCGGUUUGUCGCGUCUGCUUUGAAAUCCCGAGGCUCAACUUUGGGUGUGCAGUGGGUACGGGCAGAGUAGAGUGCGGUAGGGGUGAUUGGAAUUCCUGGUGUAGCGGUGGAAUGAGCAGAUAUCAGGAGGAACACCGAUGGCGAAGGCAGAUUUCUGGCCCGUAACUGUCGUUGAGGAGCGAAAGGGUGGGGAGCAAACAGGCUUAGAUUCCGUGGUAGUCCACCCCGUAAACGUUGGGAAUUAGUUGUGGGGUCCAUUCCACGGAUUCCGUGACGCAGCUAACGCAUUAAGUUCCCCGCGUGGGGAGUACGGUCGCAAGAUUAAAACUCAAAGGAAUUGAGGGGGGCCCGCACAAGCGGUGGAGCAUGUGGUUUAAUUCAGGGCAACGCGAAGAACCUUACCAAGCCUUGACAUCCUCGGAACCAUUUAGAGAUAGAUGGGUGCCUUCGGGAACCGCAGAGACAGGGAGCAUGACGGUCGUACACGCUCGGUCAGGGAGAGCGGGAUAACGUCCACUGCCAACGACAAACGGCUUUUUUGUAUGCCGUUUCU
rnacentral:rRNA from 1 species